ensembl:lincRNA
ACUGUACCAGGCUUGUUUUUUAAAAAGUCAGCUUUGCAAUUCCAUAUCCUACUCACCUUAUUUUCUCCCUUGAUGCAGUUACAUCCCUGUGGGAAUCAUGGAAUCUAAAGUCUGACUGUUGGUGUCUUUCAGGUUGGUGGAAAUCAGGAUGGUGAAUUUCAGCAUUGAUUUUAGGAGAUGAUAACUACCGCCACCUUAACUUCAACUGUUUUCUGGACUACUUUCUUGAUUUAGUAGAGACUGGACCAGAAAGGCCUGAGUUGUGUGUAGGCUUGCAGUUCCAGACAUUUGGGGAUCUUGCCUCAGCAGGACAGGUUAGGGUGUUUGGGGAUGUUGGUACAGAAGAAGAACAGUUAUGCCUGCCUCAAAUUUACCAGACAGAGCAGAUUUCUACUGGAAUUCCCAAACUCCUCAUCAGUUCUCUGUUACUUUUAUCCAUGACUAUUUUCAUGAAAACAGAAAAGCUUAUUUUGAUGUAAUUAAAUCCAUCAAUUUUAGCCUCAGAUUUGGCAUCCUUUCACCAGGCUGUAAGCAGAAAACCCUUGAUUUCCUCAAUUUUCUGAGGCAUGGCAAUAAGGAGGAACGUACUGAAUAUCAAGAAUACUUCAGAGGAUCUUGGAGCAGAGAUGGUACUUCCACAUAACACAGUGCACCUUGAUGAUAUUAGCAUCCACUGCCAAUAAGCAUAAAGAUCUUCAAGGUAAUUUGCCAACCAUAUUAGACAGAGGAGCAGGG